rnacentral:rRNA from 1 species
GCCUUAAACCAAGCCUAAUCCUUUAUGCCCAUGACGCACCCAACCAUUUUAAUACCUGAUAAAACAUUUUGUUUAUCUAGUAGAGGCGAUCAAAAAAAUCUUUAGAGCUUCAAAAAUAGUACCGCAAGGGAAUGGUGAAAUAGUUUUGAAAUAGCAAUAAAGCAU